CUUCACCGACCCCAGCCACAGCGGGGCCUCGCGGUCCUGGCCGUAGGUGGCCAGCAGCGCCUGCGCCUC
rnacentral:antisense_RNA from 1 species